AGAAACUUUUAUGCGUUAUCAAGAACCCAGUUACUCAAUACUUACCUGUUAACUCUCGAAAAAUAGGUUUCUCAUAUAGUUCAGAAAAGUCAAUUCCGAUGCGGGACUAUGUGGCUGCUGUUAGCGAUGAUGUGGACCUUGUUUUUGUGGUUGGUGCAAUGGCCCAUGGGAAAAU